rnacentral:rRNA from 1 species
UAUACAUGCAAGUCGAGCGAACAGAUAAGGAGCUUGCUCCUUUGACGUUAGCGGCGGACGGGUGAGUAACACGUGGGUAACCUACCUAUAAGACUGGGAUAACUUCGGGAAACCGGAGCUAAUACCGGAUAACAUUUGGAACCGCAUGGUUCUAAAGUGAAAGAUGGUUUUGCUAUCACUUAUAGAUGGACCCGCGCCGUAUUAGCUAGUUGGUAAGGUAACGGCUUACCAAGGCGACGAUACGUAGCCGACCUGAGAGGGUGAUCGGCCACACUGGAACUGAGACACGGUCCAGACUCCUACGGGAGGCAGCAGUAGGGAAUCUUCCGCAAUGGGCGAAAGCCUGACGGAGCAACGCCGCGUGAGUGAUGAAGGGUUUCGGCUCGUAAAACUCUGUUAUUAGGGAAGAACAAAUGUGUAAGUAACUGUGCACGUCUUGACGGUACCUAAUCAGAAAGCCACGGCUAACUACGUGCCAGCAGCCGCGGUAAUACGUAGGUGGCAAGCGUUAUCCGGAAUUAUUGGGCGUAAAGCGCGCGUAGGCGGUUUCUUAAGUCUGAUGUGAAAGCCCACGGCUCAACCGUGGAGGGUCAUUGGAAACUGGGAAACUUGAGUGCAGAAGAGGAAAGUGGAAUUCCAUGUGUAGCGGUGAAAUGCGCAGAGAUAUGGAGGAACACCAGUGGCGAAGGCGACUUUCUGGUCUGUAACUGACGCUGAUGUGCGAAAGCGUGGGGAUCAAACAGGAUUAGAUACCCUGGUAGUCCACGCCGUAAACGAUGAGUGCUAAGUGUUAGGGGGUUUCCGCCCCUUAGUGCUGCAGCUAACGCAUUAAGCACUCCGCCUGGGGAGUACGACCGCAAGGUUGAAACUCAAAGGAAUUGACGGGGACCCGCACAAGCGGUGGAGCAUGUGGUUUAAUUCGAAGCAACGCGAAGAACCUUACCAAAUCUUGACAUCCUUUGAAAACUCUAGAGAUAGAGCUUUCCCCUUCGGGGGACAAAGUGACAGGUGGUGCAUGGUUGUCGUCAGCUCGUGUCGUGAGAUGUUGGGUUAAGUCCCGCAACGAGCGCAACCCUUAAGCUUAGUUGCCAUCAUUAAGUUGGGCACUCUAGGUUGACUGCCGGUGACAAACCGGAGGAAGGUGGGGAUGACGUCAAAUCAUCAUGCCCCUUAUGAUUUGGGCUACACACGUGCUACAAUGGACAAUACAAAGGGCAGCUAAACCGCGAGGUCAUGCAAAUCCCAUAAAGUUGUUCUCAGUUCGGAUUGUAGUCUGCAACUCGACUACAUGAAGCUGGAAUCGCUAGUAAUCGUAGAUCAGCAUGCUACGGUGAAUACGUUCCCGGGUCUUGUACACACCGCCCGUCACACCACGAGAGUUUGUAACACCCGAAGCCGGUGGAGUAACCAUUUAUGGAG